AGCUUCAGUAGCGUAUAUUAAAGUUGUUGCAGUUAAAAAGCUCGUAGUCGCAUUUCUGGCGAGAGGAUCCGGUCCGACCUUUUGGUGGGUUCUUGGGUCUCUUUCGCCAUCCUUGAGUGGUCCGUUCUGGCAUUAGGUUGUCGGAGCGUCAGCCGCUCAUCGUUUACUGUGAGAAAAUUAGAGUGUUCAAAGCAGGCUUAUGCCGUUGAAUAUAUUAGCAUGGAAUAAUAAGAUAGGACCUCGGUACUAUUUUGUUGGUUUGCGCACCAAGGUAAUGAUGAACAGGGACAGUUGGGGGUAUUUGUAUUUCGUUGUCAGAGGUGAAAUUCUUAGAUUUACGAAAGACAAACUACUGCGAAAGCAUUUGCCAAGAAUGUUUUCA
rnacentral:rRNA from 1 species